rnacentral:rRNA from 1 species
UACGUAGGGGGCAAGCGUUGUCCGGAUUUAUUGGGCGUAAAGAGCGUGUAGGCGGCCUGAAAGGUCAGCUGUGAAAACUCGAGGCUUAACCUCGAGACGUCGGUUGAAACCAUCUGGCUAGAGUCCGGAAGAGGAGUGUGGAAUUCCCGGUGUAGCGGUGAAAUGCGCAGAUAUCGGGAAGAACACCCGUGGCGAAGGCAGCACUCUGGGACGGUACUGACGCUGAGACGCGAAAGCGUGGGGAGCGAACAGG